rnacentral:rRNA from 1 species
CCUACGGGAGGCAGCAGUGGGGAAUAUUGGACAAUGGGGGCAACCCUGAUCCAGCCAUGCCGCGUGUGUGAAGAAGGCCCUCGGGUUGUAAAGCACUUUCAGUGAGGAAGAACGCCUGGUGGUUAAUACCCAUCAGGAAAGACAUCACUCACAGAAGAAGCACCGGCUAACUCCGUGCCAGCAGCCGCGGUAAUACGGAGGGUGCGAGCGUUAAUCGGAAUUACUGGGCGUAAAGCGCGCGUAGGUGGCUUGAUAAGCCGGUUGUGAAAGCCCCGGGCUCAACCUGGGAACGGCAUCCGGAACUGUCAAGCUAGAGUGCAGGAGAGGAAGGUAGAAUUCCCGGUGUAGAGGUGAAAUGCGUAGAGAUCGGGAGGAAUACCAGUGGCGAAGGCGGCCUUCUGGACUGACACUGACACUGAGGUGCGAAAGCGUGGGUAGCAAACAGGAUUAGAUACCCCAGUAGUC